UUCUCCCACAGCCUGCUUCCUACUUAUUACUCGGGGCUUAUUAUGCGGGAUAAGGCUACGGCAGGCCCUGCGGUCAGGCGCUUUGUUGCUGGCUUCGUGAAGGGCUGUCAGCCGCAGCUCGAGGGAUGAGCGGGAGCCCGGUCUGCUGCUCGCGCCGCGCCGGAGCACGAGCUCGGGGUGAUAGCGUCUUUUCAAAGGGGGUGCCGUCAUCUUCCAGGAUGCUGACGAUCACCUCACACUUUGGAGCAUGGUGACAUGUCACGAGCAUGCUGGUGAAAGGGCAUUUACCAGUAGGAGAGGUUCAGUGGGACCAACCAGCAUGCAGCAGAUUAAGCAGGAAGGUCUUGCAGCUCUUGUACUGUGAAGAACUGCCCAUCGGAUUUCCCAGAGGAAUCAGCCCGCAGACCUGCUCUGGCUGAUAAUUGGGGUAGUUUUGUUAUCUCACCGGAGACACAAAGACAUGCGCGGCGUUCUUAAAAAAAGUUCAUUCUUUGUGUUCCUGCAAUGGACUGGUUUCCAAUCUACAGAACACAGGACCUAUGUUUUGAAACUCAGGCUCUAGAUCACUGUUGCCCCAGUUUAAAACGUGGAUGAAGGAAGUUGCAAUCUGAGAGCCUAUGCAAUUUUUGCAGACAGUAAACUUUGUGAUAGAAUCUGUCUCUUAACGGUUGUUCAAGGGCAAUAAACAAAUAGGCUUUUUUUCUGCAAUCCUAUUGGCCAGAAGCUGUCAAAUGUGACAACAUAGAUAUGUAAAUAAAUUACUAUACAUACAAAAGCA